ACAACUUCUCGCACUCCUUCAGGUUCAAAGCAAAAGCUUCAACUCUGCAAAGAAGCUGCCAAAGGGAUAUGUAGAAGAAUUGAGGAGUCUGGAGCUUGGGACGUGGCAUGAUCUGGCUCAUAUCUACAUAAACCUCUCACAAUGGCGUGACGCACAGUCAUGUCUCUCGAAAUCAAGACUCAUCGCACCUUACUCUUCUGUUCGAUACCACACCGAAGGUGUAUUGUACAAGAGGCAAGGGCAAAUAGAAGAAGCAAUGG